UACGUAGGGUGCAAGCGUUGUCCGGAAUUAUUGGGCGUAAAGAGCUCGUAGGCGGUUUGUCGCGUCGAAUGUGAAAACCCACAGCUCAACUGUGGGCUUGCAUUCGAUACGGGCAGGCUAGAGUUCGGUAGGGGAGACUGGAAUUCCUGGUGUAGCGGUGAAAUGCGCAGAUAUCAGGAGGAACACCGGUGGCGAAGGCGGGUCUCUGGGCCGAUACUGACGCUGAGGAGCGAAAGCGUGGGGAGCGAACAGG
rnacentral:rRNA from 1 species